rnacentral:rRNA from 1 species
UACGUAGGGGGCAAGCGUUGUCCGGAUUUAUUGGGCGUAAAGAGCGUGUAGGCGGCCUGAAAGGUCAGCUGAUGAAAACUCGAGGCUCAACCUCGAGACGUCGGUUGAAACCAUCUGGCUAGAGUCCGGAAGAGGAGAGUGGAAUUCCCGGUGAUAGCGGUGAAAUGCGCAGAUAUCGGGAAGAACACCCGUGGCGAAGGCGGCUCUCUGGGACGGUACUGACGCGUGAGACGCGAAAGCGUGGGGAGCGAACAGG